rnacentral:lncRNA from 1 species
CCUUAUAUGCCAUUCCAUUAUUUGGAAGAAUCAUAAUGUUACUUUGCAGCAUCGUCGUAAUCAUCCACCUAGGAACUCUCCAAUGAACUCUCCAGUUUGAAGCCAUCAUCUGCUCUGGAACCCUAAUAAUAAAUGCAAAUUCACCACGCACAAAAGUUUCACAAUCAAAUAUUAUUUUAGCUUAGAUAUCUUCUGUUUAAAAGCAUUUGUAAUAGUUUUAUUGACACAUUCAACUCCAGUCCAAUCUACCAAGUUUAGUAAACCAACCUGAAUCAAUUCAUCAUGAACAACAUACUUUAACAAAAUAAAUGAACAAAGAGAAAAUUUCAAAUAAGGAAACGAUGCAAAUUAAAGUAAUCGCAAAGAAAUGGUAAUGUAUACAACAUAUACGUAGGCUUACCUCAGAUAUUUGGUUCUCUUAUACAGGAGGUACAUAGGUGAAAGUUAUAUCUCAGCAAACAUGCUAAAGAGAGAUCUCUGCUAGAUCUUCCUAAUUAUUACCUCUGGAUCAAGGUCCCAUCCUCACCUGGCAUCAAAGCAUAACUGAUUAUCAUACAUGCUCCAUCUAUUUUCUUCAGUGUUGAUAAACUAAGAAAACAAUUCAAAGUUUCGGUGAACUAAGGCGAAAUUCAGGAAAAACUAUUUCAAUCCAACAUGAAAACAAUUUCACUUACCUUGGAGCUUUAAUUGAUUGAAAAUUUCCUUGUAUCAACAGUUAUUUUCAAUCCAACAUGAAAACAAUUUCACUGACCUUGGAGCUUCAAUUGAUUGAAAAUUUCUGUAUGCGAACCUUACAUCAACAGUUAUUUUCAAUGGAUUGAGGCCCUGCGAAAUCGAACUUUUCUUAAACAAAACUUGUAGGAAUCUUAAGCGUUGGACUCUCUGACCUUGUAGAAUUUAGAUAAUUUUC